UACGAAGGGGGGCUAGCGUUGCUCGGAAUCACUGGGCGUAAAGGGUGCGUAGGCGGGUCUUUAAGUCAGGGGUGAAAUCCUGGCAGCUCAACUCCAGAACUGCCUUUGAUACUGAAGAUCUUGAGUUCGGGAGAGGUGAGUGGAACUGCGAGUGUAGAGGUGAAAUUCGUAGAUAUUCGCAAGAACACCAGUGGCGAAGGCGGCUCACUGGCCCGAUACUGACGCUGAGGCACGAAAGCGUGGGGAGCAAACAGG
rnacentral:rRNA from 1 species